rnacentral:tRNA from 2 species
ACUAUUUUGGCAGAAUAAUGCAAUAAAUUUAGAGUUUAUAUAAGUAAUAUAUUAUUAUAAAUUAUA